rnacentral:rRNA from 1 species
GGUAAUGUCUGGGAAACUGCCUGAUGGAGGGGGAUAACUGCUGGAAACGGUAGCUAAUACCGCAUAACGUCGCAAGACCAAAGAGGGGGACCUUCGGGCCUCUUGCCAUCGGAUGUGCCCAGAUGGGAUUAGCUAGUAGGUGGGGUAACGGCUCACCUAGGCGACGAUCCCUAGCUGGUCUGAGAGGAUGACCAGCCACACUGGAACUGAGACACGGUCCAG